AAAAAUGAAACAUAAAUCAACACAUAAAUAACUGCAUAAACUACCCAUCCAGUUGCACCAGACAACAAAAUUCUCAAUAUAAUCCACUGGAUUUACCAUGUAAACAGACAAAAUGAAGGAAGGCAUACGUCCAAUUGUUGGUAUUCUCAGAUUCCGAGAUUGCAUAGUUUUUUAAGCGAAAUUAAUUACCCUACAAUCAAAACUACAUAAGCCCCAAAUCGAAUCCGAUCACUCCUUUUCCCCCAUACAAUUACCUAACCCGAUGCAUACCAAGCGCCAAACACCUAAAGAUUCUUACUUCGUUUGAGAGAGAGAAAUUAAAAUUAAAAUAAAAAGUACCCGAUUAAACACAGAUCAACCUGAACCAGAAUCAAACCAACAAAACAUAAUUAGAGGAAAACGUUUAAAUUAUUAAAAAAAACAAAAAAGAGGUUCAGGAAUUACAAAGCAAAAGGAGUUGAA
rnacentral:misc_RNA from 1 species